rnacentral:siRNA from 1 species
UUAACAGAUGUGCCGCCCCAG